AAUGGAAUCAACUCAGUUUUUGUUGUGCAGAAUUGAUUUCAACAUUUAAAAAUGAACAUUGUGUCUAUUUCAAAAUUUGGAAACAGAUGCUUUAUCCAUUUUUAAUUUAGUUGGAUGUGGCCUUCAUUAGAAAUGAAAUGCUUGUCUGUUUUUGUAUUUGACACAAAAUAUUGUCCAUUUCUAUAUACAAGAAGUAUUGUUCAUAUUGUAUCGAAGAUGAUUAGAAACGAAAUAGUGCUCCGUUUUAAAACUUUGAAACGGAGUAUUUUUUUUCGUUUGUAAUUAGUUGAGUUUCUCUAACGUUAGAAACAGAGAGUUAUUCCAUUUCAUUUUUUUGAAAUAGAUUUAAGUGUCCGUUUCUAUUCUGUGAUUUUGUUCUUCCUCCUUUCUCUGUCUUGAAACCCUAAUUCAUUUUCCUCUUCCACUCGAAUUCAUUUUCCCUCACACCUUCCUCAGUCACUCUUGCUCUGUCUCUUUCUCUUGCUCUCUUUCUCAUACUAUUCUAAAGUCCCUUUCUCUGAACAUCGGCGCAAAGUCCCUCAGUCACCCAAAUUCACUUUGGAGCUAUUCUAAAGGUCAAUCACACUUUUGGGUAUUUUUUUUCUUUCUCUCUCACGCUCAUUCAGGCUUGCCCUUUCUCUAUUUUAGGGUUAGAGACAGUCGAAGAUAUAACAGCCUUAACCAGUUGACUCGAGCCAGUGGGUUUCAGAGUCACAAGCAGUUGCAUCUUUCUUACAUAUGUUUAAGGAAAAUCAUGUCCAUCAUCAAGGAAAAGUUGGACGUGGAAGACUAUUGUUGGAAAACUAUCUCGAACGAGAUGAAAGACUUUCACUAGACCGAGUUUCAGAAACACUUCACUUGGGAUGAGAUAAUGACAUCCCUUGUGAAGAUUGCUUGGGAGAACAAGGCUGCUAAGCAUUUAUGUGCCAUUAAAGGAAGUUGGCAUAGAAGCCCUUUUCGUGCCUGAUGCAGCAUGGUGUAAGUGGAAAGAGACCUGUCGUACACCUGACUUCAAAGUUCGUAGUGAGCAAUUUAUAGCAAAUCACUGUAGUAAGACUAGAGGACCCGAAUCUGACAUAUCUCACCACACGGGGGGCUCAAUUUCCCAUGUGCAACACGCAGAGAGAUUGGCCAUGAGGUAAGCUCAGCCGAGAUCCUCUCCCCCACUAGCUUUUCGAGACAAUCCAUACAAGGAAGGGCACUUCAGAGCUCGUUGAUGCACGGGCACAAUCCAUCAAGGAGGACUCUAAUGAGCUUGCUAUUAUUGAUAAGGCGACAUUAUAUUAUCAGGUUGUUGGAGGUGAGAAGAAAUGACGGGUUUAUGGAGUUAGAUUACAGGCAUCUAUUUUCUACCCCCAAUAAGCUGGUGCAUCAUCUUUUACUACAUCCCACAUGCCAGCACCGGCUGUUAAGGAGGAGCUAUGUCAACUACGAUAGACAGUUGAGAUCUUAUAGCAGAGAGACAAGGACGAUAAGCACAUGAUGCAAGAGAGGGAGGAGCAGUGUGAGCGCCUUAUGUAAGACCAACUAAGACAGAUGCAAGAGAUGAUGAGGCAGAUGCAAUCUCGAUUCUCACAACCCUCACAGCCUAUGGAGUAGGAUCCACCUACAAGAGAUGCCGCUGCUGAUGAUCAUUUGGAUGAUUUAUAGCUUCCUUCUUUUUUAUGGAUAUUCUUAUCGAGCACUAUGAAUUUUUCUACACACUUUACAUUGUAUUUAUCCAUACACUUUACAUUAUAUUUAUGGAUUUCAUAAUUAUGUCUUUAAUUCAUGUCAUUUACUUUAUUAAUAUGAA